rnacentral:rRNA from 1 species
GGAAUAUUGGACAAUGGGGGAAACCCUGAUCCAGCGACGCCGCGUGAGUGAAGAAGUAUUUCGGUAUGUAAAGCUCUAUCAGCAAGGAAGAAAAUGACGGUACUUGACUAAGAAGCUCCGGCUAAAUACGUGCCAGCAGCCGCGGUAAUACGUAUGGAGCAAGCGUUAUCCGGAUUUACUGGGUGUAAAGGGAGCGUAGACGGCAUAGCAAGUCUGAAGUGAAAUCCCAUGGCUUAACCAUGGAACUGCUUUGGAAACUGCCAGGCUAGAGUGCAGGAGAGGUAAGCGGAAUUCCUAGUGUAGCGGUGAAAUGCGUAGAUAUUAGGAGGAACACCAGUGGCGAAGGCGGCUUACUGGACUGUAACUGACGUUGAGGCUCGAAAGCGUGGGGAGCAAACA